CUUACUUUAGUUUAUUUAGAAUGGGGAUUUUGGGGGUCUUUGGUCUCUUUGAGAAGUUUGGC
rnacentral:tRNA from 1 species